rnacentral:rRNA from 1 species
UACGUAGGGAGCAAGCGUUGUCCGGAAUCAUUGGGCGUAAAGCGCGCGUAGGUGGCCUCAUAAGUCCGCUGUGAAAGUCAAAGGCUCAACCUUUGAAAGCCGGUGGAUACUGUGAGGCUAGAGUACGGAAGAGGCGAGUGGAAUUCCGCGUGUAGCAGUGAAAUGCGUAGAGAUGCGGAGGAACACCGAUGGCGAAGGCAGCCCCCUGGGCUAACACUGACGCUGAGGCACGAAAGCGUGGGGAGCAAACAGG